rnacentral:rRNA from 1 species
ACCCAGGGGGCUGCCUUCGCCAUCGGUGUUCCUCCACAUCUCUACGCAUUUCACUGCUACACGUGGAAUUCUACCCCCCUCUGCCAGACUCCAGCCUUGCAGUCUCCAACGCAAUUCCCAGGUUGAGCCCGGGGAUUUCACGUCAGACUUACAAAACCGCCUGCGCACGCUUUACGCCCAGUAAUUCCGAUUAACGCUUGCACCCUACGUAUUACCGCGGCUGCUGGCACGUAGUUAGCCGGUGCUUAUUCUUCAGGUACCGUCAUUAGCCGAAGGUAUUAACCUCAGCCGUUUCUUCCCUGACAAAAGAGCUUUACAACCCGAAGGCCUUCUUCACUCACGCGGCAUUGCUGGAUCAGGCUUGCGCCCAUUGUCCAAAAUUCCCCACUGCUGCCUCCCGUAGGAGUCUGGGCCGUGUCUCAGUCCCAGUGUGGCUGGUCGUCCUCUCAGACCAGCUACUGAUCGUCGCCUUGGUAGGCCUUCACCCUACCAACUAGCUAAUCAGACAUCGGCCGCUCCAAAAGCAUGAGGUCCGAAGAUCCCCCACUUUCUUCCGUAGAACGUAUGCGGUAUUAGCGUAACUUUCGCUACGUUAUCCCCCACUUCUGGGUACGUUCCGAUGUAUUACUCACCCGUUCGCCACUCGCCGCCAGGUUGCCCCGCGCUGCCGUUCGACUUGCAUGUGUAAAGCAUGACGCCAGCGUUCAAUCUGAGCCAGGAUCAAACUCU